CACAAAGCGAGGCUGGAGCCCUUUCCGGCCUUCGCCUGCCCGCCCAGCCCCGGAAAUGGCGUCACCCUCAAGCCGGAGCCUCUGGCUUUCGUGAGGAUUCAACCAGUCGCAGAUACAUUCCGACCUCCUGUUAGGUGCCAGGCACUGGACUAAGCAAACAGGUUGAGAAUCACUACUUACCCACAACACACCCCUCCUGGGGCCAGAUGAAGUCAUCCCCGUGCCUCCUCAUCGCUAUAAUUCCACAAUUCAUUCGUGUUCCCCGCCUUCUCUCGUGAGCGACCAAAUCACAGCUCUGACUCAGCAAGAGAGUUCUAGUCCGUGAUUCUCGAACACACAAGAUUAAAGAAGUAAAAAUGAAGAAUAAUGAACAGAUGACUAGAUCUUUUCCCCAGCCUUCCCUUCAGUAAUCCUGCAAGCAAACUACAUGAACAAGAUAGCAUCUAAAAGGGGACUUCCCUGGCAGUCCAGUGGUUAAGACUCCACGCUUCCACUGCAGGGGGCACGGGUUUGAUCCCUGGUCCGGGAUUUAAGAUCUCUGGUCAGGAAACUAAGAUCCCGCAUCCACAUGGCAUGGCCAAAAAAAAAAAAAAAAAAAGAUAGCAUCUAAAGGAAGAUCAUGGGGAGUCUGCACACAGCAGAAAGUGACAAAGAAUCUGACCCCCUACCUUAAUGAUGAACUGAGAUUAUUUCCCCUUUUCUCUUUAAAAACUUUGAUGGCCUAGGAACUUCCCUGGUGGCGCAGUGGUUAAGACUCUGCCUGCCAAUGCAGGGGACAUGGGUUCGAGCCCUGGUCCAGGAAGAUCCCACAUGCCUUGGAGCAACUAAGCCCGUGCGCCGCAACUACUGAGCCUACGCUCUAGAGCCCGCGAGCCGCAGCUACUGAGUCCGUGUGCCACAACUACUGAAGCCCGCGUGCCUAGAGCCCGUGCUCCGCAACAAGAGAAGCCACCACAAUGAGAAGCCCACGCACUGCAACCAAGAGUAGACCCCGCUCGCCACAACUAGAGAAAGCCCGCGUGCAGCAAUGAGGACCCAACGCAGCCAAAUAAAUUAAUAAAUAAUAAAUUUUUUAAAAAAGAAAACCUUUAUAAAAAAAAUUAAAAACUUCAUGGCCUAGCAGAAUCUUUGGAGUUGGUUCUGGGACACAGGUCCACCUUCUCCCCAGGUUGCCAACCUCCUGAAUAAAGCAACAUUUCCCUUUCCAACCAUCUCUCGUCUCUCGAGUACUGGCUUUUAAGCAGUGAGCAGCCAAACCUGAGUUUGGUAACAGCUUCACAUAUACACAUAAUUAUCUAUAGACAAGUCCAGGUUCUGCCACUUGCUGCUGGAAUACCUCUCUUGGUCUCCAUUUUUGCCUCUCAUAGAGUCGUUAUGAGGCUCAAGUGAGAUCAUGUGUAUAAAUAAAAAUGUAUAUGUAUGUAAGAUAAUUGUUAUUACAGCUAGACAUCCUUUACUUUCUCCACACAUAAUGUUGCCAGGUAGCGAUUGAUUCCCAAGUAUUCGGAUGAGUACAAUUUUUAAGAUAUAUUUAUACUGCAUGAUUCCAACUAGAUGACAUUCUGGAAAAGGCAAAACUAUGGAGACAGUAAAAAGAUCAGUGUUUGCCAGGGUUU